GAUGAACGCUGGCGGCGUGCCUAGUACAUGCAAGUCGAGCGAACAGAUAAGGAGCUUGCCCCUUUGACGUUAGCGGCGGACGGGUGAGUUACACGUGGAUAACCUACCUAUAAGACUGGGAUAACUUCGGGAAACCGGAGCUAAUACCGGAUAACAUAUUGAACCGCAUGGUUCAAUAGUGAAAGGCGGCUUUGCGGUCACUUAUAGAUGGAUCCGCGCCGUAUUAGCUAGUUGGUAAGGUAACGGCUUACCAAGGCAACGAUACGUAGCCGACCUGAGAGGGUGAUCGGCCACACUGGAACUGAGACACGGUCCAGACUCCUACGGGAGGCAGCAGUAGGGAAUCUUCCGCAAUGGGCGAAAGCCUGACGGAGCAACGCCGCGUGAGUGAUGAAGGUCUUCGGAUCGUAAAACUCUGUUAUCAGGGAAGAACAAAUGUGUAAGUAACUGUGCACAUCUUGACGGUACCUGAUCAGAAAGCCACGGCUAACUACGUG
rnacentral:rRNA from 1 species